GAAACCUCAACAUCUAGGUGGUCCCAUGAUCCUGGAUCUUGCACAGCACCAAGGCACUGGGAGCACUUUCUUCUAUGGCCAUGGACCACAGUCUCCUGCAAUGGCUGCCUUCAUUCCUGUCUCCCUCUUUAGACAGAAAGCUCCCAAGCUGAGGACCUGUAUUUGUUCAUCUGUGCAUCCUAAGCCCCUCAAAGUGCCACCCAUCUGACCCAGGAGGCAGAGAGGCUGAAGAACCAGAUGCAGUGAGAGUCCAGCUGUAGCUCCUUGCCAACCUGGUUACUCAGCAGAUUGGUGACAACCCGUGAGAGCCACUGGAGUGUCUCAUGUCCUGCAGCA